CAGCUUUCAGACUGGUCAUUAACCAGUUUGGGCUUUUAGCUUUCAGGGAGAACUGGCUUUAUGCGUGUCUAGAAAGCCUAGCAAGGAACUUACCUCCUUGCCACCAAGCUAUGCUGGGACAGAACACGAAAGCCAGCAGAGCUGCAGGUCCCCCAGCAUCAGGAGCACCAGAACCGUCACCUGUCACCUGGCUACAGCUGAGCUUUGCCUUCUGCAGUUACUCGCUGCCGAUAGCAGAACGCCCAGAGGGUGGAAACGUGGCACGUUCUUCCCAUGAAAUACCCUUCAGAUCCAAAAGUGAUCCUUCAAGAUUAGAAGUCAAUGCAGAAAUCCAAAGACUGCUUUUCUAGUUGCUCGAUAAGUUAUUUCUUACUACCUGAGAUCUUAGCUUCUUUCACAUCUCUGAAGCAACAACAUUUAUCAUCUCAUCCAUUUGAAAUCUUUCUAUCUUUGCUGAAGUGCCUUCUAUCCACUGCAGUCAAGGAGGAUUAAACCUAAUUUAUCAGACGCAUCUUGAUAGCAAUAGAAUUCAUUUUGUUCAUGGAUAUGAUCGAAAAGCUUUAACAGCUGCAUUACAAGUAGUUUUAUGUAUUAAAGCUUUGUUGGAGCUUUCAAUGCCUCGUAUAAAACAAGACCAAACAAAGCAGAUUGGUAAUUGAAAUUCGGGUUCUAACUGUGGGUGAUAAAUAAGCAGAUGGAACAUUCAACAUUGCUGGGAAAAAAAGGGGCAAUAUAUGACAAAGUGAGUAAAAACAAAAAUACGCCCACAGCAGCCAAACAAAAUGCGAAGGGCAAACAAGAUAUUUCAUGUCUUCACAUUGCAUGUAAACAAUUUUAAUUUUAGUAACCCCCUUGAAGACUCUGCUAUUUAAAGUGCUGUGACUCUCACAAGCACAGUAUCUGAGCAUCUCCAAAUUUCUUAUUUAUUUUUUAAUCCCACAAGAUGCCAGUGAGGACACUGACACGAGCCGACGCAGAAAGAGCAGCCCUGCAGUGCACCAGCCCCAGUCUGGAGCAGCGCAUCCACGUCUUCCCUGGCAGCGUCAGAACCACAGCCACCGCUGGUAUGCAAUGACCCAACGCUCCCCAGCGGUGGAAUUUGGCCCUGAUCUUUUGCCUGCUACUCUGGAAGCUAUCAGAAAGGCAGUUUCCCAACUGAAGACAAGUCGAACCAAUGCAAAGCUCCAGAAACACACAACAAGUCGACAGGAGGAGCUGCGCUUGGAAACAACUCUGUUUUCUUGCUGCUGUGAGGGUUCUGCCAGGAGGCUGUUUGUCCCUGGGAUGCCCCAUUCAGCUGCUGAUUGCUGUAGGACAGCUCCAAGGCUCCUGCGACACCUCUUCUAGUUCUGCUUACAGCUGCUCCCAAAACACCUGCAACAUUUUAUUCCCAGAUGUUCUUCAGAUUGAGGUUGUUCACACACCGUGCGAGUUGGGUCUUCACCUUGUGCUGUCCAACCAGGGCCCCCCACUGCCUUUCCUUGGAAAGGGAUUGAGAUCUUCUCAUAGACCCUCAGCUUUGAAGCGAGGCUGAUUAAUUUCUAGAGGCUUUAUCCUCUCCACUGCUUUAAGCACUUAAGCCAUACAGUUGAGGGCAGCACACGGCUUUGGACCAGAGAAGAAAAGGGGCUCAUCCUGCCCUUAGGCACAGGAGCGUUCCCACACCUGGGCAAAACCUCUCAGAGCUCCCAGCAGGAGUAAAGCUGCUGAACAAGGACCCCACAGCUGCUGGGAACAGCGGCUCGCAGUGCCCUGGCAGGGCUGCUCACCUGACAGGGCCAGCUUCUCACCACCAUAAAUCAGAACGGUCCUUUUGGAAAGAAAAGAGCUCUGCCAGCUGGAUAUUUGGCAGCAGGUACUCAGGAUGGAAAGCUAAUGCCAUUUACAAACAGCAUUAUUCUGCAAACACUCAGGGAAGUCAUCCUUUGGAGCUGAGAUCUGUGGGGGCUGGAAGAGUCCACGUUCAGUCCUGACUCAGCUUGAGCUUCAGUAGCCAGAGGGGCUUGUGCUGACACCAGGAAGGAAACCACGGCACCUUCAGGUUCACCUCAGCUCCGUUAAAGUCACUGCAUGCAGCACAGCUCAACUCAAACAGCGUUUCAGAUCCACCACCUAGUUUGUGAGGCAGGGUACCUCAGGGCUAGCGAGAGCUGAAAAGGUGUUUUCUUUUUAAAAUCAUCCCCGCAGCACAAAAUAAUCCAACGCAUUUGCUAAGUGCCAGAUGAAUAAAUUGCCUAACCUUUCCACUUUAAUCCAUUGUAAUCACUUUCCAGCACACUCUGAAAAGUGAGCUCCGUGUUUCCAGAGCAGCUGUGCUCCUAAUUAAAAGGCAGUGUAGCAAGGAGAUGGGAAACUUAUUUCUGGUUGGAAAUCCCUUGCUGCAGAGCUGGA